AAAAAUGUCAGUGAAGGACAUCUGAGAUUUUGUUGCAGUGGUUUUCUGAUGCAUGUGUUUAAGGUUUAAGGGGUGGUGACACAGCUAAGACCCGAGAGUCUCUUUCAAGACACUGAAUUUGAGCAGAAACCAUAAGGAUACUCAAAGGACUUGUGACUCUCAGGAAAUGGUGAGAUUUCAGCAUCAAAUGAGAGUGACAGGUGAAACAGUUUCAAGACAAUGGCAGGAAAAGCAUGCUGAAGAUUGAAUCAAACCUUGGCUGGAAAUAUUUGAAGGGAUCUAGCCAGUCCACAAUGAAAGCUUCGUUGCCCCCCUGUGAGUCUUCUGGCAGAAAUGAUGGCGCCUGUAUUCUUUGGUUUCCCUAAACAUCACACCCUGUUUAAACGAGGAGACUUCAAUUAAGUCUGCACCCAAAGAUUCAAUA